rnacentral:lncRNA from 1 species
CAGAAUACAGGGCUCUUCGGUCCAUGGCAGGAUGGCACAGAGCAGAACGAGCAGAGCACCGCAGACUUCAAAGGAAGAAAAAUGCACCUUGGUCCUGCGGAGCCACUGUUACCUGAAAUUCAUCGCAGGAUGCAGCUUUGUGCUCUCAGUGAUACAUAUGCCCAUCCUGUGUCACUCCAGGGAAUACGAGCACCUCUGAGAACAAGCACACACAUGUCCCCAGGCAAGUUCACCUACACAUGAAAACCAUGCUGGAGAGAAGGAGGAGGAAAGACCCCCCAGCACAUCACAGCCCUGGCAGGGCAAGACCUGCUUGGCCAGAAACAGCUCUGUGAUUCAUUUUCUAUGUGCUGUGUUUACAUACAUUAGUAAAUAUGGU